CUUGCCAAUACUUGGAAGGUUUUGUGUGAUGCUGAGGGACACCAUCAGUGCCCUUUGUGUGAGAUUUGCCUCUCCAACAGCCCCAUCCCUGUGGAGCCACAGAACUGCAGCUAUCACUGAGCCUGAGUUCACAGCACAGCAAAAGCACAUCCUCAUGGUGCUGCACAGAUGUGAUCUGCCUGGGGGAUGUGGAGACACCUGGGAUCCUCAAUCCGGUCAGAUGCAAUGGGACACAUGACCAACAUGUUUUUUCACCUUUCCUGGUGUCGGGAGUCUGUUGCACGGGAGCUGUCGGCCGUGCUGUUCCAGUUCAGGGGCUCCUGCAACAGAAAAGAUCAGCUGUUGGAGAACCCAUGGAAAGCCCUGGGGGAGAGCCAUGGCCGCAAGCGACUGGAGGAAGAGAGCCCGGUAUUUACAUAUUUUGACGUUUAUCAAAUAAAACGCGGCGCCUGAAUUAAUUCUGCUCUGAUUUAUAAGGGAAGGGGGGGAAGGGGAGC
rnacentral:lncRNA from 14 species